rnacentral:misc_RNA from 1 species
ACGAUGCGCCAGCUCAACGGAACGAGUGCUUUAGGCUCAUUGCUUCACCAGUCACCACCCCGACAGAGACCGCCACCGUUGUCAAGCAUGUUGGGUGCACCGAGUCCGGCAUCAGGCGAAUUCAGACGCCGUCUUGCACGGCUUCAGGGGUGAAGGGCGGGCUAGGCAGCAGAGGCACUAACGGGCCGAGGAUCCUGGCAGCCCUCUCCGCGCCGAGGGGCAGAACCAGCCGCGAGAACCCUCAAAGAGCUCUGAAGGCAGGGCUGCCAGUCGGGUAGCCGGUGGAGGGACAAGACAAUGAGGUGCUCACAGGGGUGGAAGCGUGCCACGCGGGAAGACGACACGCCACCGGGCUGCCUUUUCCUCUGCCAGAGUGCCCGCCAAUGCAGCUGUGUUGCGCGUGCACACGGGCUGGCAGCUUGUCAGUUUAAGGGCCCUGAUCAUGCGCAUACGAUGCGCAUGAUGAUAGUGCACCCAGCCGGCACACCGUUUUCAGGAACUUUCCGGUGUAGACGUGGUAAGAGCGAUCCUUCGCUGUGAGACUCAGAGGGAUCCCUCACACUCCCACGCAGCUGUGCCGGGCCGCGGCGCUCGCGCGAGGGCGCAGGGAGUUGCUGACUAUGGAAAGUUAGAGAGGUUCUAGGCCGCAGUGCUACAGCAGAAAGAAGUGUGCCGAGCAAGACGUGGAUGGGCGAAGUGUGUGCGUGUAUGCGGAAGAGAGCACAGGCGAAUCCCUAGGCAGCGCACAACCAGCAGAGAACGCGGGUUUCUUACUCCACCUGGCCCUUUCACGCUUAGCCGCGAAGGGACUCAACGCAAUAUGUGUUGAUGUAAAGCUACUACUGCUUCGUUUCCUUUUUGGCGUUUUUCUCAGAAAAGGGUUGUCAUCAGGAGUGAGCGCCACGGUUUUGCAAGCCGCCCUUGAUCUUACCCCACCACCCUCCCCUCGCUCGCUACAGGCUUUUCCUCUUCCUCAGCCCCAUAUCUUCUUUCGCUGCCGUGCUCCUUGUGCUGCCUCUUCACAAAACAGUGCAUUCGCGGAUGCAUGCAUCGUGGUCUCGCAGUGUUAAUGAGGAGCGAAGGCCACCGCGGACAAAAUCAAAAGCGGGAAUAGAUGGCUGCAGCUUCCUCGACUCGUACGGUGAGGCCCAUGGAUUUCAAGGCGGGGCCUUUGAUUUAGUGUUUUUCAUUUCUUGCUUUUGCUUUCUGUCGCUCGGCGCUGCUUGUAUGUCCUGUGUUUCCACUUUCGCGGGUGUGCAACUGCGUGCUUACCGAUGGCUGUCCCUUUCCCUGCUGUUGCCGAAACAAACGAGUUUUCACGGCGACUGUCUGCUUGUUCGUUUAUGUGUGUUCGUGGGGGAGGGGAGGGCGGGGGUUGUCUGUUCGACUGCACGAACUCUUUUCGAGACCUCCGUGGAUACUAUGAAUGCGUCCCUUUUUCCCUUUCGCUUCAUGCGGUGAUGGUAACCAUGUGCUCCCUCCCCCAAAGCGGAACG